GAUUAACGCUAGCGGCAGGCCUAAUACAUGCAAGUCGAGGGGUAACAGGUGUAGCAAUACAUGCUGACGACCGGCGCACGGGUGCGUAACACGUAUGCAACCUACCAAUAACUGGGGAAUAGCCUUCCGAAAGGAAGAUUAACACCGCAUAACAUCAUUCUACGGCAUCGCGGAAUGAUCAAACCUCCGGGGGUUAUUGAUGGGCAUGCGUAACAUUAGCUAGUUGGUGAGGUAACGGCUCACCAAGGCUACGAUGUUUAGGGGGUCUGAGAGGAUGAUCCCCCACACUGGUACUGAGACACGGACCAGACUCCUACGGGAGGCAGCAGUAAGGAAUAUUGGACAAUGGGGGCAACCCUGAUCCAGCCAUGCCGCGUGAACGAUGACGGCCCUCUGGGUUGUAAACUUCUUUUGUACGGGAAUAAACCCCUCUACGUGUAGAGGGUUGAAUGUACCGUAAGAAUAAGGAUCGGCUAACUUCGUGCCAGCAGCCGCCGUAAGAC
rnacentral:rRNA from 1 species